rnacentral:lncRNA from 1 species
AUUGUUGCAAACUCAAUUAGAAAUUUGAAUUGAGAUCAGUUUUGGAAAAAGGGAAAGGGGGAUGUGAAAAAAAAAUGGGGGGGGGGGUUAAAUUUUUCUCAUUUCAGAUUUCAUAAAUAAAAAGAAAAUUUCUUCAAACAUUUUUUUGAGAGGAUUAAUAUUCAACAGCAUAGUGAAUUGCUCAAAGGCAAAAAAAAAAUAUUUUAAGUUCAAUAGACCACAUUCAUUCUGUGUCAGAAACCUAUGCUGUGUCAACUAUUUAAUCACAAUCCAAAUUUAGAGCUGAAUCCAGCUUAAAUGUUGUGUCCAUACUUGCCCCAACUGUUCAGGGUUCAAUCUCUGUGGUCGUAUAUAGCUGCGCCCUGCGGAGCAUCUGGUUAGUUAUUAUCUUGAAUACCAUUAUAGAAAGAGAUAAACUGUAAACAGCA